rnacentral:rRNA from 1 species
AACGAACGCUGGCGGCAGGCCUAACACAUGCAAGUCGAGGGAGAAGCUAUCUUCGGAUAGUGGAGACCGGCAGACGGGUGAGUAACACGUGGGAACAUACCGAGUAGGUGGGGGAUACCAGUUGGAAACGACUGCUAAUACCGCAUACGCCCUUCGGGGGAAAGAUUUAUCGCUAUUCGAUUGGCCCGCGUUAGAUUAGCUUGUUGGUAAGGUAACGGCUUACCAAGGCUACGAUCUAUAGCUGGUUUGGGAGGAUGAUCAGCCACACUGGGACUGAGACACGGCCCAG